rnacentral:rRNA from 1 species
GUACACGCUGUGACUAGCAUAUCAAUAAGCGGAGGAAAAGAAACUAACAAGGAUUCCCUCAGUAACGGCGAGUGAAGCGGGAAGAGCUCAAAUUUGAAAUCUUGAAAGGUCUACCUUGCACGAAUUGUAGUUUAAAGAAGUGUUUUCUGUGACGUAUCGGUAAUAUAAGUUCUUUGGAAUAGGACAUCACAGAGGGUGAGAAUCCCUGUCUAUGAUUGCGAUUAUUUAGCUUUGUGAUACACUUUCAAAGAUGUCGGAUUGUUUGGGAAUGCAGUCCAAAACGGGUAGGUAAAUUUCAUUCUAAGCUAAAUAUUGGCGAGAGACCGAUAGCGAACAAGUACCGUGAGGGAGAGAUGAAAAGAACUUUGAAAAGAGAGUUAAAUAGUACGUGAAAUUGUCAAAAGGGAAGCGUUUAACACCAGUGUUGUUUUCUGAAAAUCAACCUCUGUUAGCUUUAUGCAUGUUUGUUUAGACCUAAUCAGCUAUCUUGCAUGUUCUAUUGUUUGCAGUGGUGCACUUUUCAGUUUACAGGUCAACAUCAGUUUUUUUUACCGUAAAAAAGUUAAAGAAAGGUAGCUCAUGGCUCCGGUCGUGAGUGUUAUAGUCUUUUUCCUAUGCGGUAGGAGAGACUGAGGUCUGCAGUGUAGGCUAUUUGGCUAGAUACUCAGGUGCUAUGUGAUACCAUUUCAUAAACAACUUGUUGAUUAUGUUUUGUCUAUUGCAUACUCGCUUGUACUAUCAUACCUACGCUUAGGAUGUUGAGUAGCGACAUACGCAC